AAACUUCAUAGGUGACUAGUUAGUUAUACAAGUUAAUGUUUAUCCGGACCUACCACAUGUUUCCUGACUCAUAGUCUUCAGUGACUGACCUUUAAAGCUCAUCCAUCAUGGCCAGCAAGUCAUCUCCCUUGUUCCCGGGUCCCUCUGUCUGGCUUCCCUCUUCAUCAAAUUCUCCUGCUAUGCGUGCCAGCUCAGUACUGGCCAGCUGAUCCUGGGAAUACAAAGCUGUUCCCUUGGAAUGUCCCAUGAUGCCUGCAGUGAGGGUGUACCUGCUUUGGUUUCCGUGCAGAGGUGGUUGAUGAAUCCAUGUCUUCAGUGUGACCCUGUCUCCAGAGAGGUCAAACGAGGCCUGGCGUACAGCACUUGUGUAGCUUCCUCCACUGGGGAACCUUGUUCUCCUCACCUCACGCCCUUUAGCAUUAAACCACC